GACACGGUUGCACCCCCCGCAUCGGUCCCUGCUAACCGGACACCGCUGGCAACCCGGCGCCAAGACGUGCGCGCAAGGGCGGGCGCCCGCGGGCGAGCAGCGUGACGCAGAA
rnacentral:rRNA from 1 species